GCCGGGCGCAGUGGCGCGUGCCCCUAAUCCCAGCUACCCGGGGGGCUGAGCAGGAGGAUCGCUGGAGUCCAGGAGUUCUGGGCUGUAGUGCGCAAUGCCCUUGUCCGUACUUAAGUUCCGCAUCAAUAUGGUGACCUCCCGGAAGGGGGGGACCAUCAGGUUGCCUAAGAAGGGGUGAACUGGCCCAGGUGGAAAACGGAGCAGGUCAAAACUCCCGUGCUGGGAACCAGCAGUUAGCGUAAUGGCUAUGUCGCUGGACUCCCACGUAGUCGACCGCGGCUCGG
rnacentral:SRP_RNA from 1 species